AAAGACAAAAAAUGUUUUAUAUUUUUAUUCUUUCACUUUUUGAAUUUGCUAGAGGAAAAAGGCUUUGCUUUUUUUUUAAACCACCAUUUUUUUUUAAACACCCAACACUUGGGUUUCUUAACACCUUGAGUGCCACCACGCCACCAAGACCGACGGCCGACGAUGGAAGAAAAACCCCGGCGGCACGGUCACGGCCAACUCCGGUGAGUUUCUCCUCUCCUUAUUUCUUUUGUUUUUAUUUUCGUAAGUAGAAAGAAAUAAAAAGAAAUCAAACUAGAUGUAAAAACACACAAAAAUAAAGAAACGAAAAUUACUUCUCCGAUUCAAAGUUUAUGUUUUUAUUGUUCUUGUGUCCGUAAAAAGAGAGGAAGAGCCCCCUUUGCCGGCCAUCGACCACCGCACCGGUCGCCGGACGCCGGCGACGACGCCGCCGUUCGCGGUGGCCGGAAAACCAAAAAAAGCUCCCUUUUUCUCCUUUUUGCGAAUAGGGUCCAGAUCUGGGGUUAGAAAAGCCGAAAUCCCGGCGAAAAGGGCCAAAAUCGAAAGAGACCUUUCGGUUCUUCCUCUUUCCACCGCCGCCGGAAACAGGUAAACUCCUUUUUACUUUUAUUUUUUUUAUCUUAUAUAUAUGUGUGUUGAUAAUAAAAAAGAGAAAGAAAUACUAUAGAAAAACCGAAAUAGAACGAAAAUAAAGAAAACGAAAAAAACAAGGUGAAUCACCUUCUAAAGCCUUUUUUUUAUUUCUUUCAAUUUUUUCAAAAGCCGAAUCUUCUCUUUUUUGUUACAAAAGUCCCGUUCUCUUUUUUUUUGUUUCUCUUCUUUUUUUUUCCCUUUGGUCCGAUUUUGCUUGUGGCUUUUAUAGCCAAAAAUACAAUAUUCUGUUAAUGUUUAUUGCUCCAUUUUUUGUCAUUUUCCUUUGCUUGUUUGCAGGUGCGGCAAAAGGCAUGGUGGUGGCAGACAGCAUGGGAGAGUGGGAGUGGUGCUGGUGGCAGACAACAUGGGAGAAUGGGAAGAGGCAAGUGGGAGUCUAGGGUUUUGGGAUUGGGCUUGGAUGUUGGGCUAGGUUGAUUUUAGGUUUUGGGUUUUAUUAUUUAGGUUAUUUUGUUGGUAUGGGCCCGGGCAAAAAUGGACUUUUACAUAUAUUAUUCUACUCAUUUACGGCUACUAAUCCAUCAUUUCCAUUGUUGAAUUUGGAAAAUGCCAUUGCGAAAAUUUGGGUUAAGAAUGCUUAAUUGAAAGAAGAUAAAACCCAUCAAAUUAAUUAAUCCCAUCAAUCAAAAUCUUUUGAGAUUCCAAAAACGAAAAAUGCCAUUCCAAUCCAAUCUUCUCCAUGUUUAUUACCUAGAUUUGACCUUCCCUGAGACUAAUAUAUACAUACAAUACAAUCAACAACUAUAUAAUAAUUUUAUUAAAAAAACCUAUGUAAUUAAUUAAUUAAUCACAAGUUUUCGCAAUGUUAGAUCCGAAUAGUAAGAUUUUGAAUGUUUAAAUUCGAAUUUUAUUAUAUGUAUGUACGAAUUUUUAAUUUAAAUUUUAUUAUGAAC
rnacentral:lncRNA from 1 species